rnacentral:misc_RNA from 1 species
AGAUCAUCAAAAACCCUAAAAAUCUGCAUUUCUCUAAUAAACCCCAUCAAAUUGGCUGACUCUGUAUUGCACAAAGAAGAAGGAUCAAUGCCAGAAACUGAAAAUAAAGACGAAUCCACAUUGCCUUCCAAGCGUAAACUCGAUUCACUUCCAGUUUCAGAUGGCAAAGAAGCAGUGUCAGAAGAUCAACCUAACAAAACUCAAAAGCUCCAAUCUCUCACCCACAACGGCAAUUCACUGGUCAUCGAGGAGAAAAUCACCGGAAACCAACCUCUACUACCUUCUAAUGACAAUUCCUGCGCCAAUUCUUCUAUUCCCCAAGAGAAAAGCAGCAGUAAAGCUGUGGCAGAAGAUAACGACACCAGAGAAGGAGAAGAAGAAGAAGAAGAUGAUGAUGGAGAUUAUGAGGAUGAGGAAGAGGAGGAGGAAGACAACGGAGAGGCGGCUGUGGUGGAUAGGAAAGGUAAGGGGAUAAUGGUAGAAGAGGAGGAAGAUGAUGAUAGUGAUGAUGACGACAUUGAUUCGAGUGAUGGUGGAAGUGAAUUGGACGGUGAUGGCAGUGAGCUAGAGGAUGAUCCUUUGGCUGAGGUUGAUCUGGAUAACAUUCUACCGUCGAGGACGCGGCGACGGGCUGCGCAGCCUGGGGUUUAUAUUGCUAACGACCAUGGUAACGAUGACGAUGAUAGCGAUGAUAGUGAUGCCUGAUUCAAGGCAGAUUUCGCUGCCUUUAUAGCAACUUAGUGGAUGCGUAUCCUGGAAGG